rnacentral:rRNA from 1 species
GCUAGUAAUCGCGGAUCAGCAUGCCGCGGUGAAUACGUUCCCGGGCCUUGUACACACCGCCCGUCACACCAUGGGAGUUGGGAGCACCCGAAGCCGGUGAGUUGACCGCAAGGGGACAGCCGUCGAAGGUGAGACUGAUGACUGGGGUGAAGUCGUAACAAGGUACC